rnacentral:rRNA from 1 species
CUACGGGACGCUCCAGUGGGGAAUAUUGCACAAUGGGCGCAAGCCUGAUGCAGCCAUGCCGCGUGUAUGAAGAAGGCCUUCGGGUUGUAAAGUACUUUCAGCGGGGAGGAAGGGAGUAAAGUUAAUACCUUUGCUCAUUGACGUUACCCGCAGAAGAAGCACCGGCUAACUCCGUGCCAGCAGCCGCGGUAAUACGGAGGGUGCAAGCGUUAAACGGAAUUACUGGGCGUAAAGCGGACGCAGGCGGUUUGUUAAGUCAGAUGUGAAAUCCCCGGGCUCAACCUGGGAACUGCAUCUGAUACUGGCAAGCUUGAGUCUCGUAGAGGGGGGUAGAAUUCCAGGUGUAGCGGUGAAAUGCGUAGAGAUCUGGAGGAAUACCGGUGGCGAAGGCGGCCCCCUGGACGAAGACUGACGCUCAGGUGCGAAAGCGUGGGAGCAAACAGGAUUAGAUACCCUGGUAGUC